ensembl:lncRNA
GUUGAAAUAUUUACUAUGCAGAAUAUAAUUUUUUAAAAAUCCUCAAAUAUUUUGGGGAAUAGAUAUGAACAAGGAGAAAGUGAUCUACAUGGAACCCAAAGUCCUGUUUGAAAAGCAAUGGAAGGAAAAAAGGCAUCGAACAAACAGAAGGAGAAACUUUCCAUGGCAUACUAUUGCAAUAGUCCUGGGAAUUGUAUGCUUUUUUCUCCUA